GAUGAACGCUGGCGGCGUGCCUAAUACAUGCAAGUCGAGCGAACAGACGAGGAGCUUGCUCCUCUGACGUUAGCGGCGGACGGGUGAGUAACACGUGGAUAACCUACCUAUAAGACUGGGAUAACUUCGGGAAACCGGAGCUAAUACCGGAUAAUAUAUUGAACCGCAUGGUUCAAUAGUGAAAGACGGUUUUGCUGUCCCUUAUAGAUGGAUCCGCGCCGCAUUAGCUAGUUGGUAAGGUAACGGCUUACCAAGGCAACGAUCCGUAGCCGACCUGAGAGGUGAUCGGGCCACACUGGAACGGAGACACGGUCCAGACUCCUACGGGAGGCAGCAGUAGGGAAUCUUCCGCAAAGGGCGAAAGCCUGACGGAGCAACGCCGCGUGGUUGAUGAGGGUCUUCGGAUCGUAAGACUCUGUUAUUGGGGAAGAACAAAUGUGUAAGUAACUAUGCACGUCUUGACGGUACCUAAUCAGAAAGCCACGGCUAACUACGUG
rnacentral:rRNA from 1 species